rnacentral:rRNA from 1 species
AGUGAACGCUGGCGGUAGGCCUAACACAUGCAAGUCGAACGGCAGCACAGUAAGAGCUUGCUCUUACGGGUGGCGAGUGGCGGACGGGUGAGGAAUACAUCGGAAUCUACUUUUUCGUGGGGGAUAACGUAGGGAAACUUACGCUAAUACCGCAUACGACCUACGGGUGAAAGCAGGGGAUCUUCGGACCUUGCGCGAUUGAAUGAGCCGAUGUCGGAUUAGCUAGUUGGCGGGGUAAAGGCCCACCAAGGCGACGAUCCGUAGCUGGUCUGAGAGGAUGAUCAGCCACACUGGAACUGAGACACGGUCCAGACUCCUACGGGAGGCAGCCGUGGGGAAUAUUGGACAAUGGGCGCAAGCCUGAUCCAGCCAUACCGCGUGGGUGAAGAAGGCCUUCGGGUUGUAAAGCCCUUUUGUUGGGAAAGAAAAGCAGCAGGUUAAUACCCCGCUGUUCUGACGGUACCCAAAGAAUAAGCACCGGCUAACUUCGUG